GUACUUACCUGGCCUCGUUGAUCACCGAGAACGAGCCCCCGGGUGAGGCGCGGGCAUUGCACUGCGCUCGCGCUAACACCUGCCACUACAGCGAACUGUGGAAGGGGGCAUGCAAAUUGC
rnacentral:snRNA from 1 species